AUGGGAUUUUUCCUCCUUGUAAUAGUCACUGUAGCAGCUUUGGAAGGUGUCCGGUCCCAGGUGCAGCUGGUGGAGUCCGGAGGGGAUGUGAAAAAGCCUGGAGACUCUCUCCGCCUCUCCUGCAAAGCCUCCGGGUUCACCUUCAGCAGCUACUGGAUGAACUGGGUCCGCCAGGCUCCUAGCAAGGGACUGGAAUGGGUCGCUUAUAUAAACACCGGUGGGGGUACUGCUUAUUACCCUGAUUCAGUGAAAGGCCGAUUCACCAUCUCCAGGGAUAAUUCCAAGAGUGAGCUGUAUCUGCAAAUGACCGGCCUGAAGCCCGAGGACACCGCCCGCUAUUACUGUGCGAGAGACACAGUGAAACAAAACCAAUUUGUGAUCAUACAAAAACCCAGGCUGCGGAAUCGCCCUUCUCCCGGCAGCCACGUGGGGGCAGCACGUCCACAAACAAUCCAGCAUGAGGUUCACCUUCAGCAACCACAGGAUGAGCUGGGUCCGACAGGCUCCCAGGAAGGGGCUGGAGUCGGUCGCUACGGUCAAUCAGCCAAGUGGCUCCAAACAAUGGUAUUUCCUGGCUGUUCAAGGCUGAUUCACCAUCUCCCGAGACACCUGUCAGCUCGGCUUGUCUGCAAAUGA